rnacentral:lncRNA from 1 species
UGCCAUUCUCUCAUUCUCCCAUAGAAAGCUAAUUUUCUUUCAUUUUCUUUCCUUGUUUUCUUUUCAUUUCUUUUCUCUCCUUGCUUCUUUCUUCUCCCAACUUCUUGUGCACCGAAGUUACAACUUCUAACCCCAAUUUCCAGCACAUAUAAACUCUAGGAGAAGAAGAAAGAAAAAGAGAGAAAGGAAGAAAAAGAUUGAUUUUGGUGAUUCAAGCAAGUAAAGGUAAGGAUUCUUGUUUUUGGCUUGAGUAGUCUUUGAAAAUGAGUUAGUGACUUCAAGAAAUGUCUUGUGGCAGCAAAGAUUGACUUGAUUUGAGAAAAAUUGGUAACAUAUAAGCCAAUAAACCCAUGGGUACAUGAAGGACUCAAAGUGGAAAAGGAAAACGGUAAGCUUAACACUAUGUUUUAAAGCCUACGGUUAGUUGAAUAUUGUGAGGAAUUAAGGUUGCUGAAAGGAUCUAUUUUCCUAAGCUACUUGAAAAUUAUUAAGAUUGUAUGGCAUGUUUUUUGAAAGAAAUAAAAAAGGAAUAUUAUGGAUGGAGGAUUGAGAAACAAAGUAUUGAAAGUUAGAUAGAUAACGAUGCAUAUAAACUAGGAAAUAAUCGAGUGAAAGUGAGAAUGAUUGUUGCUGCCAUAUAUGUGGAUUAUGUGUGGAAAUAUAAGACGAAUUUGAAUGAAAAUGGCUAGAAAAGGUUAAUAUGGGUGCUAGAGUCAUAAUUAAGUUGCAUGUAAUUUUAAUUUGAAGAAUUACACAAGUAAAGGAUAAAAGCAACUUUGGUAAAAAUGUGUCGAGAUGUAGGUUAGUUGAAUAAGGAUUCGUGAUUGAAGGGAAAAGAGAAGUAGGAAUGAUGUACACUAAAGGUAUUGCAUUUGUAUUAUUGCUAGGAAGUGCAAAGGUAAAGUUAGAGUAUUGUGGUGGUGUACCGGAGGAAAUAACGAGCGACCGACAAGUAGGAAUAGCUUGAUACACCUUCGAACCAAUAGCGAUGUAAUAUCCCACUAUCGUAAAGUGAGGGAACUUGCAUUUUAAAAUAUUUUGGGGAAAUGAUUACGUGUUUCAAUGAAUCAUUUGAGAAUUUUAUCGAUUUUGUUUUAAAAUUUUCUGAGAACAAGCGCUUGAUAAAAUGUUUGAUGUUGUGAAAUGUGAAAUGUGUAAAAAGAUGAAUCCAUAUGUUUUUGUAUAAUGUUGAUAUAUAUAUAUAUAUAUAUUGUAAAACUCGACCCUAUAAACACAUGUCAUGACAUACAUACACUGAGUAGCAUGUUAUUACGCUAGGAAACUUCCUAAGAAUAGACGAAACCCGGUAUUGUACUUAACGGUACACUUGAGUUGAUUUAACCUCGAACUAGUUCAAAUAGGAAUCGUAGGAUGAAAUUUAAUAUUUUACAGUCCAAGAAUGACUAAAAAUGACUGUUCGGAGUUCGAGGGUUCAUUUGGGGAAAAAUUGAAAAUUUUGAUGUUUAGGGGCAAAAUCGUCAUUUUGCCACCUAAGAUAAUAAUUUGAUCAUGGAGUGAAAUUUUUGAUCAAGAUUAACUAUUUGGAGUAUAAUUUAAUGAUAGGAAGUGAAAAAUUUCAAUUCCAGUGAUUUUCGGAAGAUAGGGGCAAAACGAUAAUUUUGUCGCCCCAGGGUAAAAACCGUAAUUUUCACCACCCAAAACUUGUCAAAAUCAUAGGAUUUAUUUAUUUUUGGUAUGAAUAACUAUGGUAUUUCAAGUGGUGAAAAAUAGAAGUUUAAUGGAUGAAAUUUUAAAAACGGGCCAAUGAAAAAGUUACACAUGGCAUUUUUUAAUUGGUUAAUAUUAUUUUAAUAAAAAAUCAGCCCAUUUAAACCCCAUAUUAAGUGAUGGCCGGCCAUAAGGAGAGAAUAAGAAAGAAAAUAGAGAGGAAAGGAAGAAAAGAGAAAAACCAAAGGAAAACUAGAAAAUUCAAAGAGGAAAUCGCGUUUUUCGACCGUUUACGCGUCUAACGAUAAGAUUUUUCGACUUUAGCUUGAUUUCUACCUUUCUUAUGCCUUUGUUUCCAUUUAGCAUGCUUGAGGAGAGAGAUCAAAAAGUGAUAUCAAGGGCUGGACGAAAUUCAAGGGGGAGGAAUUCAAAAUUUUUAUGUUUUAAUUUUUAGUUAAAUUGAUAGUUUUAGUUAGUUAAAUGCGUAUAGAAAUAAAAUGGGGCAAGAAAGCAUGAAAUUUUCACAAUACCCACCCUUGGCUGAAUGUUCAAUGAUGUACAAUGAUGAUGAACUGAUUUUUAUUUUAAGAGAAAUGAAGUGAAAAUGAAGAGAAAAUGAUGAAAAAUGGUUAAAUGUGAUAGAAAAACAAAGUGGAAGAUUUACCGAAUUAAUGUCCCAUUUUUGGCCGAAUUUUCCAAGAAGGAAAGUGAGCUGAUUUUGGUGAUUUUAGAAGAUUAUUGGCUGAUAUUUAAUGGUUAGAAAUGUUGGAGAGAAAAUGGGACAAUUUAGAGCUAAAAUGGAGCGUGUUAGCAAUUUAUCGAGUAAAGUGCUAAAAAUAGGUUAAUACUGCGUUUAAGCUGUUUUAGGCUAUUGCAUUUCAUACCAUGCAUUAGUAUAGGAUUUAAGUCAAUUAUAUAGUGAUUUAGCAUCAAUGUGGUAAAUUGUGAAAUUUUUGCAAUGUGUCUAGGAGGAGAGCGUUCCGGUAAAGGCAAGGAAGUCAUACCCGACGAACAGUGAUCGGGGCACCCAGAAAGCAUUUAAUUUGUACAAACGG